rnacentral:tRNA from 1 species
GCCGGGAUAGCUCCAUCGGUAGAGCACCAGACUUUGAAUCUGAGGAUCCAGAAUUCGAGUCACUGCUCGGGCG